CCUACGGGAGGCUGCAGUGGGGAAUAUUGCACAAUGGGCGCAAGCCUGAUGCAGCCAUGCCGCGUGUGUGAAGAAGGCCUUCGGGUUGUAAAGCACUUUCAGCGGGGAGGAAGGCGUUAAGGUUAAUAACCUUGGCGAUUGACGUUACCCGCAGAAGAAGCACCGGCUAACUCCGUGCCCAGCAGCCGCGGUAAUACGGAGGGUGCAAGCGUUAAUCGGAAUUACUGGGCGUAAAGCGCACGCAGGCGGUCUGUCAAGUCGGAUGUGAAAUCCCCGGGCUCAACCUGGGAACUGCAUUCGAAACUGGCAGGCUAGAGUCUUGUAGAGGGGGGUAGAAUUCCAGGUGUAGCGGUGAAAUGCGUAGAGAUCUGGAGGGAUACCGGUGGCGAAGGCGGCCCCCUGGACAAAGACUGACGCUCAGGUGCGAAAGCGUGGGGAGCAAACAGGAUUAGAUACCCGUGUAGUC
rnacentral:rRNA from 1 species